UCGACGGAGAAAAUCAAAGUUGUCCUUGCAUGCCGACCACGUCAGCAAGUCGUAAAACUGAUGGCAAAAGUCUAAAUGGCGAAUACCCAUUAGCAUUGGCUGCUUAAAUUAGCGGUCACGUUUGUCGUGUGAUACUCGCUGGCGCGAACAAACGUCAUUAGCGAGCUAGCAGUUCUGGUUUCUCUUUGGCUAGGGCUGUGAAACAUAAACAAGGGGUGGUCUGAGACAAAACCUGUUCGUAAGGCAAUCCUCAGACAUACAUAAUGUACGAACUAAGCAUGUAGAUGGGAUGAUGGCGUUUCUUCGGACGUGGGU
rnacentral:tmRNA from 6 species